rnacentral:lncRNA from 1 species
CCUCUCUCUCUUUGGCUAGCUGGGCUCAUUACUCUGGGCUCAAGGACCGAGAAUCCUACAUGGAGCUAAAUGCAUGUCUUCUGAAGUCCAGCUACAGUAGCACAAAAAUGACCGUCAUCUGCCAGCUCCUCCGGCUUUCAUUCAGCAAACAGAAUCCAGUGGACACAACACUGAAUGAAUCUAGCGCUGGGUCUUCCCAGUCUGAAGCAUCUCUACCUGGACCAGUUAGCAGAGAUGAAAAGAAAUAGCUCCAAAGCAGCUCUACCUGGACCAGUUAACAGAGAUGAAAAGAAAAAGCAUCAUUGGUCCAUUUGAGUCCUGUGUGUUGAUUAUUUAUCUUGCCCCUCUUAUCCUGUUGAAGGGAACAGUGUUUUGCACAAGACAUUUCAAGGCCAAGUUCUCAGCACAAAGGAGAUUUACUUGCCCCAGAGGAACAGAGGGCAGGGAAAAAGAGACAGAGACAAGAGAUAGAGGACAAGGGAGAAGGGGAAAGGAACAGGGGAGAUGGAGAAGGGGUGUUUGUCCUGAAGGACAAAGGAUUGCCUCUGGAUAGAGAGGAGACAGAUGUGGCCCACAGGAAAACGGUGGUUUAUAAAGGUAAAUGAGGAAACCCUGUGUUAGGAUGAGGUGCCUAAUUUUGAUUAGACAGGUUAAUUAGGGUGACCACAAGGGGGCUUUUGAUUGCUAGACUUCAGUUCUUUUAGCUGGACCUUGGCAGUCAGUCUCAGGGGGAGGAAGUGGCCAGACAGGGGAGCAGACCUUGCAGGCUAGCUUUAGGAAUGCAAUUUAAUAUUUUUCUCAAGGAAGAAGGAAUAGGGGAGAAAGGCAAGACCUGCCAGAGCCAUUUUUGCCAUGGCCAGGCCACGAGUCCCUGCCAAGUACAUGGUGAUCCUUAAUGUCAGCACUCGGGAGGCAGAGGCAAGCAUAUCUCUGAUUUCAAAGCCAGCUUGGCCUACGAAAUGAGUUCCAGGCUAGCCAGGGCAGCAUGAUGAGGUCUGUCCAAAUAUAAAAUAAAAUUAAAGUCAAG